rnacentral:pre_miRNA from 1 species
AGAGGGAUAGCUGGGUCAAAUGGUGGAUCCAUUCCCAGAUUUCCAAGGAAUCUCCAUACUGCUUUCCAUAUUGGCUGCACCAAUUUGCAGUCCCACCAGCAAU